AUUGAACGCUGGCGGCAGGCUUAACACAUGCAAGUCGAACGAUGACUCUCUAGCUUGCUAGAGAAGAUUAGUGGCGGACGGGUGAGUAACAUUUAGGAAUCUGCCUAGUAGUGGGGGAUAGCUCGGGGAAACUCGAAUUAAUACCGCAUACAACCUACGGGUGAAAGGGGGCGCAAGCUCUUGCUAUUAGAUGAGCCUAAAUCAGAUUAGCUAGUUGGUGGGGUAAAGGCCCACCAAGGCGACGAUCUGUAACUGGUCUGAGAGGAUGAUCAGUCACACCGGAACUGAGACACGGUCCGGACUCCUACGGGAGGCAGCAGUGGGGAAUAUUGGACAAUGGGGGCAACCCUGAUCCAGCCAUGCCGCGUGUGUGAAGAAGGCCUUUUGGUUGUAAAGCACUUUAAGCAGGGAGGAGAGGCUAAUGGUUAAUACCCAUUAGAUUAGACGUUACCUGCAGAAUAAGCACCGGCUAACUCUGUGCCAGCAGCCGCGGUAAUACAGAGGGUGCGAGCGUUAAUCGGAAUUACUGGGCGUAAAGCGAGUGUAGGUGGCUCAUUAAGUCACAUGUGAAAUCCCCGGGCUUAACCUGGGAACUGCAUGUGAUACUGGUGGUGCUAGAAUAUGUGAGAGGGAAGUAGAAUUCCAGGUGUAGCGGUGAAAUGCGUAGAGAUCUGGAGGAAUACCGAUGGCGAAGGCAGCUUCCUGGCAUAAUAUUGACACUGAGAUUCGAAAGCGUGGGUAGCAAACAGGAUUAGAUACCCUGGUAGUCCACGCCGUAAACGAUGUCUACUAGCCGUUGGGGUCCUUGAGACUUUAGUGGCGCAGUUAACGCGAUAAGUAGACCGCCUGGGGAGUACGGCCGCAAGGUUAAAACUCAAAUGAAUUGACGGGGGCCCGCACAAGCGGUGGAGCAUGUGGUUUAAUUCGAUGCAACGCGAAGAACCUUACCUGGUCUUGACAUAGUGAGAAUCUUUCAGAGAUGAGAGAGUGCCUUCGGGAAUUCACAUACAGGUGCUGCAUGGCUGUCGUCAGCUCGUGUCGUGAGAUGUUGGGUUAAGUCCCGCAACGAGCGCAACCCUUUUCCUUAUUUGCCAGCGGGUUAAGCCGGGAACUUUAAGGAUACUGCCAGUGACAAACUGGAGGAAGGCGGGGACGACGUCAAGUCAUCAUGGCCCUUACGACCAGGGCUACACACGUGCUACAAUGGUAGGUACAGAGGGUUGCUACACAGCGAUGUGAUGCUAAUCUCAAAAAGCCUAUCGUAGUCCGGAUUGGAGUCUGCAACUCGACUCCAUGAAGUCGGAAUCGCUAGUAAUCGCAGAUCAGAAUGCUGCGGUGAAUACGUUCCCGGGCCU
rnacentral:rRNA from 1 species